GCCACAGCAGUGACCUGAGCCACUGCAGUGACAACACCGGAUCCUUAACUUGCUGUACCACAAGAGAACUCCUAAGAUUAAUUCUAUAAGCAAAAUUACUGAGUCGAUGGCUAUGCCAAAGUUUAAGGCUUUGACCUGUAUCUGUGCAUUUUUGUUUCCCAAAGAAAGUUCUGCAGUCUUUAAACUAGGUUUGGAGAUAUCAAAUUAUAGUGACAAGUACUCACAGGAACUAUCACUGAGUCCCGCUUCACCUCUCAGGGAGGCACAGAUUGGAAGUGCUAAGGAAGAAAAUGUGUCAUUUGACCAAACAAUUCUUUGAUAAUUUGUCAAGAAGCUGUUGUGUCUGACACACAGCAGCUGCUCAAUCACUAUUUCUCAAGUGGCCCCAAGUUUUGGCUCUUAUGAAGCCAUGUGCUCCAUUCCUGCUUUAGAGGAGUUUCUGCAUGAUCUCUUAGCAUCCUCUGUAUAGGAAGUCACACAGUCAGUUUGACCCCGGAACCAUCUACAUAGACACAAAACCAACACCAACAUCUAAACAGAGUCCAAAGAAGUUUCCCACCGACUGUCUCAGAAACAGUCUGUAAUGCCAGCAUAGAGACCCAUUCUCUCCAUGUCUAUAGGUAGGAAUAAUGAAACAAAUAUUCCUUAUGUAAUUUCUCUUUAACAAAAAAUUCAAUCAUCCUCUCCUUUCUUGGUGAAAUUCAACAGUGAAAAAAUAUACAAUAGACUAUGACAAGUAAGAAAUACUUGGGCCCAUGUUUCAGAAUCAUUUCUAAUUCAAGUGCCCAAUUUGUCCCCCCGCCGUGCAUGUAACUCGUCUUUGUCACCCUCAAAUGACCACUCUCCUAACAUUCCUUUCCUUUCCUGCUAGCUUCCAGAAGCCAGAGGGGAAGGAUCAGUAGCCAAUAAAUAAAUAAAUCAGGAAAACAGAUCAAAGUUUAGAAAAUUUUGACAUCUUCUCCUCAAUCAUCAAAAAAUGACUUUUAAAAAUAUGUACCAACCUGGCCAUUCCUUGAUAGUUUGGCAGACACCAUUCCUUCCUCAAAAGCAUAAUUUAACACAAAAAGCAUUGCUGGGGGCUGUCAGAACAAGUUACUACUGAAAGGCCAUUGAAUGGGACACAUAGUCAAAAAAUUAUCAUUGCUCGUCGGUCAACACCAGCCGUGCUUGAAUUUGGAUAAACGAAAUCACUCACUUAGCUGCAUCUGGGUCACUGCAGAACUCUGAGCUUAGAAAGAGAACUGGGUUAUGUAGGGCUGGGCUCUAGCCUGAGAUUCAUGUAGGACCACACCCCCAGUGACCAGGCACCAUCAUCUCAACCCAACAAGCUGCCAAGAAACCUUGAAGGGCUCGACUGUGAGUCCCUGGUGGGUAGAGAGUAAGUCUUCCUAUCUUUGCAACCAGCGGCUGUAGCACUGGGCCUGACAGUCGGGGUGAAUGAGGUGAAACACUCAAAAGUGGCACCUUCCCAGGAAUAAGGUUUCCAGUGAUGGACGAUGCGUCAGGGCAGCAAGAGUGAUGACAGUUGUUUCCCAAGAUCUGAAGCGGACUCUGUGGCUCACUAGAGAUAGCCCAGGAGAAACACUGGGGCAUUAAAACAUCUUCUAUGAAGAUGGGUGCUGCCUUCAUGCCUAAGAGCCCUAAAUGUGCCUGCCAACUUUGCCACUCUGAACUCAGGUACAUUUUCACCCCGCCAUUGGCUCUCCAAGGCAGGUUUUUUUUUUUUCCUGUCUUCUGUUGUCUUUUGAGGGCCACACCUGCAGCACAUGGAGGUUCCCAGGCUAGGGGUCAAAUCAGAGCUGUUCUUACCAGCCUAAGCCAGAGCCACAGCAAUGUGGGAUUUGAGCUGCAUCUGCGACCUACACCACAGCUCACAGCAACACCGGAUCCUUAACCCACUGAGCGAGGCCAGGGANAGAACUCCAAAGCAGGCUUUAAAUCCUAUUUUCUUAGGACUCAAUUUGCAGGAGAUGAACAAAUCCAGAAAACCUGUGUUUAAACACCAAUUAACCUCCUUUAAUUCCCUCAUCUGUACAAAGGAGAGAUUUCCUACAUCAAAUUAUAUAACUGUUCAACAUGGGGCCUGACACGGUGCUUAAUACUGCUUAAUACGUAGAAGUUGGUACUUUUACUAUUAUUAUUCUAUUUAUUUAUCUUUUUAGGGCCACACCCAAGGCAUAUGGAGGUUCCCAGGCUAAGGGUCUAAUAGGAGGUACACCCACCAGCCUACACCACAGCCAGAAAAACACGGGAUCUGAGCCACAUCUUCGACCUACACCACAGCUCACGGCAAUGCCAGAGCCUUAACCCACUGAGCAAGACCAGGAAUCGAACCUUACCGUCCUCAUGGAUACUAGUCAGAUUCAUUUCUGCUGAGCCAUGAUGCGAACUCCCUACUUUUAUUAUUAAAGACCCCAGAGGAAUCCAGCAAAGGUGAGGGAGCCUCUUUUUUCUAUUGAAGUACCGUUGAUUUACAAUAUUGUGUUAGUUUCAAGUAUAUAGCAAAGUGAUUCCGUUAUAUAUAUCUGUAUAUUCUCUCUCUUUUUUAAUUCUUUUCCAUUAUAGUUCAGAGGGAGUCUCUUUAAAAGCAGCUAAAUCACAUCCUAAUUUUUGAUCUAGGCAAAUUAAACUAAUCAUAGUAGAAUGCUGACAGCUGUAAUGAAUCGUGAGCAGGGAAUCACGUUUAGCUAGGAUGGCUAACUCUUUAUGUUAAAAAUCAAAUUUUUACUGAGAAAAGAAUUCAUGAAAAAAGAAAAACUCAAGUCAUCUUAACAGACUCUGCCUCUGUCUCUCUCUCUCACUCACACACACACACAGCUUUCAGGCGUCCUUGAAGUCAAUAAAAUUGUGACCCCGAUACAUUAAGAAAAAUGCCCUAAGCCAGCCAAGAGUGAAAAUAAACAUGACUGAGCAAUAAAUUGGGAUCGCCUUCCCUCUCCUCCUCCCCGCCACAUGCUCGGGCUUCGCGGGGCAAAACACAGUCCAUAUGGAGGCUCUGACGUAACGGGGCCCACCCCCGCCCUCUCCUCACAGGCCUCCCCCAGGUGACUCCCGGCCCAGGCGGCCCGGGGCACCGAACAAACAUGAGCUGAUGCAGAUGGAAUGAGCAGAUGUCUGGCGUCCCGAGCCCAGGCUGUGAGGGACAGCCCGUGAGAGUGAGGAGGAGGCUUGGAGGGGAGCAGGCACCCCAUUUCCCUGCCCAAUCCCCUGAACCCCGAGUGCCAGCAGCAGCGACGGGGCAAGCAGUCCUUCCAACCCUUGAGUACCCCGUCCUCCUGCCUCCCCCGAGACCUUGACUCCCAGACCCAGACAGAGCCUUAGGGUCAAGGCGGCUCGGAGUCACCUGAUCCCAUCUGUCCGUGUGAGACAGAUGAGAACACCGAGGCCUGGGGCCUUAAGGGACUUGACCCACAGGGUGCACCGGGAGUGGCAGCCUCUGCAGCACUGGGGACGCAGGAUCAGUCCCAAAAUCCCAACCUGCUCGGUGGGCUAGGGAUCCAGCAUUGACAUUCCUGAUGCAGGAACUCCACAUGCCUCAAGGCAGCCAAAAAACAAAAGGGGGCUUGCCCAACCUCAGGUAAUAGUUUAUGGCCAAACAGAUUUCCACUCUCCUACCUUCUAGAAUAAUCCUUUUUUAUAUUCUAAGCUGGCUGACGCAGUAUGAUCAAAGAUCAUUCAUCCAACUUUUCAUUAAAUCCUCACUGUGGGAGUAGGGAGGGAGAAAUCAGGCAUUUGGGAUUAAAAGGUACACACUACUA
rnacentral:lncRNA from 1 species